rnacentral:rRNA from 1 species
GACAGAGGUGCCGAGCGUUAGGCGGAAUCACUGGGCUUAAAGCGUGUGUAGGCGGACCGUUAAGUACCUUGUGAAAUCCCCCCGGCUCAACCGGGGAACGGCUGGGUAUACUGGCGGUCUUGAGCCAUCCAGGGGCAGUCGGAACAGACGGUGGAGCGGUGAAAUGCGUAGAUAUCGUCUGGAACGCCGAAGGUGAAAACAGACUGCUGGGGAUGAGCUGACGCUGAGACAACGAAAGCCAGGGGAGGCGGAACGG